CUCUUCGGGGAUGAUUAAACCGGCGCACGGGUGAGUAACACGUGAGUGACCUGCCUUUUAGACUGGAACAACUUACCGAAAGGUGAGCUAAUGCCGGAUGAGUUAUAUAAGUGCAUGUUUAUAUAGGAAAAGUUGGGGAGACCUGACGCUGAAAGAUGGACUCGCGUCCCAUUAGCUAGUUGGUAGGGUAAUGGCCUACCAAGGCGACGAUGGGUAGCCGGCCUGAGAGGGUGGCCGGCCACACUGGGACUGAGACACGGCCCAGACUCCUACGGGAGGCAGCAGUGGGGAAUUUUGCGCAAUGCUCGUAAGAGUGACGCAGCGACGCCGCGUGAAUGACGAAGGCCUUCGGGUCGUAAAGUUCUUUCGACAGGGAAGAAAAUGCCUAUAAGUAACUGUGUAUGUAUUGACGGUACCUGUAUAAGCAGCCCCGGCUAACUCCGUGCCAGCAGCCGCGGUAAUACGGAGGGGGCGAGCGUUGUUCGGAGUGACUGGGCGUAAAGAGCACGUAGGCGGUGUUGUAAGUCAUUAGUCAAAGACUAGAGCUCAACUUUAGUAAGGCUAGUGAUACUAUAAUACUAGAGUAUCAGAGAGGAUUGCAGAAUUCCUGGUGUAGCGGUGAAAUGCGUAGAUAUCAGGAGGAAUACCGUUAGCGAAGGCGGCAAUCUGGCUGGAAACUGACGCUGAGGUGCGAAAGCGUGGGUAGCAAACAGGAUUAGAUACCCUGGUAGUCCACGCUGUAAACGAUGGAUGCUAGGUGUUGGGCUUUUAAGUUCAGUGCCGCA
rnacentral:rRNA from 1 species